rnacentral:rRNA from 1 species
UACGGAGGGUGCAAGCGUUACUCGGAAUCACUGGGCGUAAAGAGUGCGCAGGCGGGCUUGUAAGUCAGAUGUGAAAUCCUGUAGCUUAACUACAGAACUGCAUUUGAAACUAUGAGUCUAGAGUGUGGGAGAGGUAGGUGGAAUUCUUGGUGUAGCGGUGAAAUGCAUAGAUAUCACGCAGAACUCCGAUUGCGAAGGCAGCAUACCGGCGCUCAACUGACGCUCAUGCACGAAAGUGUGGGUAUCGAACAGG